UCUCGCGACGAUGGCGGAAGGGCUACACCUGUUCCCAUACCGAACACAGAAGUAAAGUCUUCCAGCGCCGAAAGUACUUGGUGGGUAA
rnacentral:rRNA from 1 species